rnacentral:rRNA from 1 species
UGGACCCGCAAUACGUCGACCCGGGGGAUUCAACCAGGCCGUGCGUUCGGGACGCGCGGAGGUUACGCGGAGCUGUAAAGCCCGUGCCUUGGCGUAGGUCUCCGGGCGGACUGGUGCACUUUCCUCGGGUUGAUUGCCACGACCGGCUCUCCGUGCGGCCACAAGCCUGUUGCUGGUAAGGUGACCGCCGGCCCCCGCGCCGGUGGUGUUAUAGACCAGCGUGUGUGUUGCGCUCGUCGGAGGGCCGAGGAAGCUGCCGCUUCUCAGCACCCUCCGGCCAUCCUUGCUCGUCACGACUGGGGUGGACUGCUUGGUCAGUGCUCUCCCGACCGCGAGCGUAGGAAGGGCUGGUACGGUGCGAGAUGCUUCGGGCCAGUGGCGAAUCGGUCGGUCCUCCACCCGACCCGUCU